AUUCUAGAAAUGAUAGAGAUCUGAUCAGAUCACAGGGGAGAAGUAGCGAGGGGCUGUAGGAGAAGUUUGCCAAGGUAAUGGUCAACAGUGUAGGACAGGAUUGGCUGAGAAACUGAAUGCCUCCUGAGCACAUGGAAUUAUGGGCAAGAAGAUUUGAA